rnacentral:rRNA from 1 species
AGUGAACGCUGGCGGUAGGCCUAACACAUGCAAGUCGAACGGCAGCACAGUAAGAGCUUGCUCGUACGGGUGGCGAGUGGCGGGCGGGUGAGGAAUACAUCGGAAUCUACUUUUUCGUGGGGGAUAACGUAGGGAAACUUACGCUAAUACCGCAUACGACCUACGGGUGAAAGCAGGGGAUCUUCGGACCUUGCGCGAUUGAAUGAGCCGAUGUCGGAUUAGCUAGUUGGCGGGGUAAAGGCCCACCAAGGCGGCGAUCCGUAGCCGGUCUGAGAGGAUGAUAAGCCACACUGGAACUGAGACACGGUCCAGACUCCUACGGGAGGCAGCAGUGGGGAAUAUUGGACAAUGGGCGCAAGCCUGAUCCAGCCAUACCGCGUGGGUGACGAAGGCCUUCGGGUUGUAAAGCCCUUUUGUUGGGAAAGAAAAGCAGCAGGUUAAUACCCCGCUGUUCUGACGGUACCCAAAGAAUAAGCACCGGCUAACUUCGUG